rnacentral:rRNA from 1 species
UGGGGAAUCUUGCGCAAUGGGCGAAAGCCUGACGCAGCAACGCCGCGUGUGUGAUGAAGGUCUUCGGAUCGUAAAGCACUGUCGCGAGGGAAGAUACGCCACCGGCUAACAUCCGGAGGCUAAGACGGUACCUCGAGAGGAAGCACCGGCUAACUCUGUGCCAGCAGCCGCGGUAAUACAGAGGGUGCGAGCGUUGUUCGGAAUCAUUGGGCGUAAAGCGCUUGUAGGCGGCCUGUCAAGUCGCGUGUGAAAUCCCCUGGCUUAACCAGGGAAGUGCGCGCGAAACUGGCGGGCUUGAGUGCCGGAGAGGGUCGCGGAAUUCCCGGUGUAGAGGUGAAAUUCGUAGAUAUCGGGAGGAACACCAGUGGCGAAGGCGGCGACCUGGACGGACACUGACGCUGAGACGCGAAAGCGUGGGGAGCAAACAGGAUUAGAUACCCGGUAGUCC